UACAUAGGGGGCGAGCGUUAUCCGGAAUUAUUGGGCGUAAAGGGUACGUAGGCGGGCCUGCAAGUCUGAUUUGAAAGCACACGGCUUAACCGUGUGAGGUAAUUAGAAACUACAGGUCUAGAGAGUGGUAGAGGUAAAUGGAAUUCCAAGUGGAGCGGUGAAAUGCGUAGAGAUUUGGAGGAACACCAGUGGCGAAGGCGGUUUACUGGGCCACAUCUGACGCUGAUGUACGAAAGCGUGGGGAGCAAACAGGAUUAGAUACCCUGGUAGUCCACGCCGUAAACGAUGAGUGCUAAGUAUCGGUAGAAUCGGUGCUCAAGCUAACGCAGUAAGCACUCCGCCUGGGGAGUACGGUCGCAAGAUUAAA
rnacentral:rRNA from 1 species